UGCUUUAUGCAGUUAUGGAGUUAUGUAUGGCGUUUGCAUAGCUAUCGGUUGACAGUUGAGAGGGAUUCAAACUAUGUCUGUUUCAUCUCAAUUGAAACAUGAUAGCUCUGAAGACGCCACCCAGAAUUCCUCAACCGCAUAAAGCG